rnacentral:rRNA from 1 species
UGGGAAUCUUAGACAAUGGGGGCAACCCUGAUCUAGCCAUGCCGCGUGAGUGAUGAAGGCCUUAGGGUCGUAAAGCUCUUUCGCCUGUGAUGAUAAUGACAGUAGCAGGUAAAGAAACCCCGGCUAACUCCGUGCCAGCAGCCGCGGUAAUAUGCC